rnacentral:rRNA from 1 species
AUUGAACGCUGGCGGUAGGCUUAACACAUGCAAGUCGAGCGGUAACAGUCCUUGGGAGCUGACGAGCGGCGGACGGGUGAGUAACGCGUAGAAAACUGCCCGGUAGUGGAGGAUAGCCCAGAGAAAUUUGGAUUAAUACUGCAUACGCUCUACGGAGGAAAGCGGGCUUCGGCUCGCGCUAUCGGAUGUGUCUGCGUGAGAUUAGCUAGUUGGUGAGGUAAUGGCUCACCAAGGCGACGAUCUCUAGCUGGUCUGAGAGGAUGAUCAGCCACACUGGGACUGAGACACGGCCCAGACUCCUACGGGAGGCAGCAGUGGGGAAUAUUGCACAAUGGGGGAAACCCUGAUGCAGCCAUACCGCGUGUGUGAAGAAGGCCU